UUUUUUUAUGACGCGUCUUUUACGUAUUAUGAUAUUCUACUUUCAUUCUAUAUUAACAAAGUAGGAGCCUCCCGAGUUUUAAUCAUUACUCCACGUGUGUCUCACAUCUUUGUCGUUGUAUUUUGGAUCCUUACUUGAUUUCCAGGAAUGAGAUGGUUUCGAUUUGGAGAGGUGCGAUCAUAAUGUUUUUUGGUUGCGAGGUCUUUCUCUCUCUUUUUCUCCCCCGCCCUCAAUCUUCAAACCACGUCAACAUGAUAUCAGUGACUGACUUAGUUGAAGUCUUUCAUAACUGACUUAUGGGAGCCCACCCUUAAUAUUGGUCCACGAAGACGACGAGCUAUGUUAUCCCCGUUGAAUUCCAUUAGUUCGGAAGACAGAUUCAAAUGGCCUUGACGCUGAAGAUUGUCGGAGUGAUUCUAGAGGUACUACUUUUUUUAUAUUUUGGAAAGAUGUAUCCCCUGUCUUCGAUAUUGUCUUACAGAUGAUAGAUUCAUUUGGAGUGAAUUGAAUGACUUAAGAAAAGACUAACGUAUAAUCCUCAGUUUUUGUAGACCAUGCCAUUAAACAAUUAAUUCAUCGAGCAGAUCUGGAGUAACGUAUGCCGUGAUGUCUGUUUCAGAGACUUCUCCAAUUUUGAUACGAAGACAGACGGCGCACAUGCAUCUCAAGCUUGAAUUAUUCGCUGUUGUGAUGGAGAGUCUUUUAGUUGAGUCUCUUUCGAUGUUGUACUCCAAUACCAAGUCGUGAAAAUAAGUAACUGUAUCAGGCAAAGCUUUCAUGGUAAAAGGGUGGCCUGACCUUGCAUAAACUUCAACCUCGAGAUAUUGAGUGAUUUGAUCGUCGACGUUUUGAUUGGCUUGGCCUAUAGCCAUUUUGAAAUUCAGGAAAUAGUUAUCUGACACCUUGGUAUUACAUAUAUUUUUAAAGAUGACCGCUAGUUAAAUAGACAAUAGAGGAUUUGACUUAAUUUUCAUUAUUUUGGUAAUGUUAAUACUUGAUGUCAUUUAAUUGGAAUAUUGACAAUCUCUUAAUAGUAACUCGUCCGUUGGAAGUUCUCAAACAUUGAGAUUUUUUUAACCACAAUCUUCCCCACCUUCCCCUAGGUUUUUCCACAUUUGAUUCUAAAAUACUUAUUUGAAUCUCAUAAUGGCGGAUAAUAUAAUUUGAAUGUUGUGUACAGUAUAUACGUCAUCACAUACAAGGAUGUGAUUGUUCGAAUAAGUUUACAAAAAUAUAUCUGUUGAUGGAUACCCAUUAUAUAUUUUACAAUAACAAAAUUUUUAAAUCAGAGAGAAUAUAAUAUAUGCAUAAAUAUAAACAAA
rnacentral:lncRNA from 1 species